rnacentral:rRNA from 1 species
AGCAUAUCAAUAAGCGGAGGAAAAGAAACUAACAAGGAUUCCCCUAGUAACGGCGAGUGAAGCGGGAACAGCUCAAAUUUUAAAUCUGGCUGCUUCGCAGUCCGAGUUGUAAUUUGAAGGCGUCUGUCGCAUGUGAGACGAUGGCACAAGUCCUCUGGAACGUGGCAUCGUAGAGGGUGAGAAUCCCGUCUCUGGUCGUUGUCUUGCAGGCACACAACAGGCGAUCCGAAGAGUCGAGUUGUUUGGGAUUGCAGCUCCAAAUGGGUGGUAAACUCCAUCUAAGGCUAAAUAUUGGCGAGAGACCGAUAGCGAACAAGUACCGUGAGGGAAAGAUGAAAAGAACUUUGAAAAGAGAGUAAAACAGUACGUGAAAUUGUUGAAAGGGAAACGCUUGAAGUCAGUCGUGCCGGCGGGGAUUCAGCGAACUUCGCGGAGUGAGCGUAUUUCCUCGCAUGGCAGGUCAGCGUCAGUUUUGCGCGUCGUGAAAGGGCUCGGGUAAGGUGACUCUCUUCGGGGAGUGUUAUAGACCUGAGCGGAUGCGAUGCGCGGGACUGAGGAUUGCAGCGGACACCCUUCGGGGCGCGGCGACCGAUCCCUGCUCUGUCACCUUCGUCCGAUAGCGUGCUAACGGUCGGGGGAGCGGCGGUUGCACCGGGUUGGCAAGCCGGCGGCUUCGCUAAGGAUGCUGACGUAAUGGCUUUAAACGAC